rnacentral:misc_RNA from 1 species
ACCAUUCCUUGCCAUGGGUGACACAACUAGGACCCCUUUUCCUCUUCUGCUUCUACCACAAGAAAUCAUCAGCAUUACUCUUCGACAAAUGUGCCUCAUUGAGCAACGACUUUUUCAAUUUCUUCGCAGAUGUAAAGCUAAAUUUCGCUCACAAUCCCGUUGGUUUUCGCAACUUCUUCGCAAGAAAUACGAUUCUCGAUCUCUCUACUCUCAGCAAAAGCGAAAACUGCGGUUGCCAGAGUCAACGGGAACCACGAAAGUGUGUCAUUCUCUGAUUCGACAAUCAGGCUGAGGUCCAGUCUCAAUGACAGAUAUUGUCCAGCAAGUGAUGUCGUAGCGGAUAACAUCACGGUUAUCCGGCCAGAACCGCUGCCCAAGACAACGACUAGGCCUGCCAACGUUUGGAGGUCACGAUGCAAGCGCGCCCCACCGGACGGCGCGCGGAUCUGAAUUGCCGGCGCCAACUCUAAUUGUCAUCAUUCUCGACUUUUCUUGGCCCCGCCCAAUUCCCCUAUAUAAGGAGCCGGAAACGCUCAUUCUAGGUCUUCUCUAAUUCCUUUUACUUGUGUUACUUAUCGUCCUUUUCCCCUCCUU